rnacentral:lncRNA from 1 species
CUAGAAUCCUGAAAUGGGAUCAAUCUCAGGGCCCACGCUGAGCACGCAAGUGUUACCAAGCUAAGGAUCUGGGGCUGAGAAUGUUUGCCGUCCCUCCAAUGGUGCAUGCUGGGAUUGUACACAUGAGAUUAAGCCUGGAGUGGUCUGGGAAAACUCGCCUCUUUCUCUUGCAGGAAGUAGGCGUAGGUAUUGUGUGUUCUCUUCUUAAACCAUGGAUGUGCGGCUGUGAAGAGCUGGCCCCGAGUGGAUCCGGAGGUCACCGGCGCUUUCCUUCCCACGCUCAGCCCACAGCGUUGCCUCAGUUCUCAGUUCAGUGAACCCCGUAAAAGCACUGAUUUAGGUACUUCCCAAAGAACCUGCAAAAUGGAGUUGGAUGAAGUGAUCUCUGAGGAUAAUCGCCCUCUCCUACAUCUAGAGUCGACUUUUUUCCCCUCUAGAGAGGUCUGGGCUGGUGGUGGCUCCUAGGAUCCAGAGAUGCCAGGCUGUGGGCCUGACUCCUCUUCAUGAGCCCCUCCAGACUCAAAGGUCAUCUGAUUAAGAACCCAAGUGAGUCGAGGCCUCCAGCAGGCCAGGGCCACUGUGAGGGCACAGGAUCCGCAGGGCAGCUAGGCCGUGAAAUCAGUGGUUCACUGGAGGGUUUCUGCCCUCACAGCCUCCCGGGGCUGCUAGAUAA